GCGGGGUUAGCUCAGUUGGUUAGAGUGUGGUGCUAAUAAUGCCAAGGUCACAGGUUCAAUCCCUGCUCACUGCA
rnacentral:tRNA from 1 species